rnacentral:rRNA from 1 species
CAGAUUGCAGGCUGNAACCCGCCUGCAUGAAGUCGGAAUUGCUAGUAAUCGCGGAUCAGCAUGCCGCGGUGAAUACGUUCCCGGGCCUUGUACACACCGCCCGUCACACCAUGGGAGCCGGUAAUACCCGAAGUCAGUAGUCCAACCACGUGAGGACGCUGCCGAAGGUAGGAUUGGCGACUGGGGUGAAGUCGUAACAAGGUACC